rnacentral:rRNA from 1 species
CCUACGGGAGACAGCAGUGAGGAAUAUUGGUCAAUGGACGAGAGUCUGAACCAGCCAAGUAGCGUGAAGGAUGACUGCCCUAUGGGUUGUAAACUUCUUUUAUAUGGGAAUAAAACGUUCCACGUGUGGGAUUUUGUAUGUACCAUAUGAAUAAGGAUCGGCAAACUCCGUGCCAGCAGCCGCGGUAAUACGGAGGAUCCGAGCGUUUUCCGGAUUUAUUGGGUUUAAAGGGAGCGUAGGUGGAUUGUUAAGUCAGUUGUGAAAGUUUGCGGCUCAACCGUAAAAUUGCAGUUGAAACUGGCAGUCUUGAGUACAGUAGAGGUGGGCGGAAUUCGUGGUGUAGCGGUGAAAUGCUUAGAUAUCACGAAGAACUCCGAUUGCGAAGGCAGUUCACUGGACUGCAACUGACACUGAGGCUCGAAAGUGUGGGUAUCAAACAGGAUUAGAUACCCUUGUAGUC